rnacentral:rRNA from 1 species
GAUGAACGCUGGUGGCGUGCCUAACACAUGCAAGUCGAGCGAUUCUCUUCGGAGAAGAGCGGCGGACGGGUGAGUAACGCGUGGGUAACCUGCCCUGUACACACGGAUAACAUACCGAAAGGUAUGCUAAUACGAGAUAACAUGCUUUUAUCGCAUGGUAGAAGUAUCAAAGCUUUUGCGGUACAGGAUGGACCCGCGUCUGAUUAGCUAGUUGGUGAGGUAACGGCUCACCAAGGCGACGAUCAGUAGCCGACCUGAGAGGGUGAUCGGCCACAUUGGAACUGAAACACGGUCCAAACUCCUACGAGAGGCAGCAGUGGGGAAUAUUGCACAAUGGGCGAAAGCCUGAUGCAGCAACGCCGCGUGAGCGAUGAAGGCCUUCGGGUCGUAAAGCUCUGUCCUCAAGGAAGAUAAUGACGGUACUUGAGGAGGAAGCCCCGGCUAACUACGUG